rnacentral:rRNA from 1 species
UUGAUCAUGGCUCAGAUUGAACGCUGGCGGCAGGCCUAACACAUGCAAGUCGAGCGGAUGAAGGGAGCUUGCUCCUGGAUUCAGCGGCGGACGGGUGAGUAAUGCCUAGGAAUCUGCCUGGUAGUGGGGGAUAACGUCCGGAAACGGGCGCUAAUACCGCAUACGUCCUGAGGGAGAAAGUGGGGGAUCUUCGGACCUCACGCUAUCAGAUGAGCCUAGGUCGGAUUAGCUAGUUGGUGGGGUAAAGGCCUACCAAGGCGACGAUCCGUAACUGGUCUGAGAGGAUGAUCAGUCACACUGGAACUGAGACACGGUCCAGACUCCUACGGGAGGCAGCAGUGGGGAAUAUUGGACAAUGGGCGAAAGCCUGAUCCAGCCAUGCCGCGUGUGUGAAGAAGGUCUUCGGAUUGUAAAGCACUUUAAGUUGGGAGGAAGGGCAGUAAGUUAAUACCUUGCUGUUUUGACGUUACCAACAGAAUAAGCACCGGCUAACUUCGUGCCAGCAGCCGCGGUAAUACGAAGGGUGCAAGCGUUAAUCGGAAUUACUGGGCGUAAAGCGCGCGUAGGUGGUUCAGCAAGUUGGAUGUGAAAUCCCCGGGCUCAACCUGGGAACUGCAUCCAAAACUACUGAGCUAGAGUACGGUAGAGGGUGGUGGAAUUUCCUGUGUAGCGGUGAAAUGCGUAGAUAUAGGAAGGAACACCAGUGGCGAAGGCGACCACCUGGACUGAUACUGACACUGAGGUGCGAAAGCGUGAGGAGCAAACAGGAUUAGAUACCCUGGUAGUCCACGCCGUAAACGAUGUCGACUAGCCGUUGGGAUCCUUGAGAUCUUAGUGGCGCAGCUAACGCGAUAAGUCGACCGCCUGGGGAGUACGGCCGCAAGGUUAAAACUCAAAUGAAUUGACGGGGGCCCGCACAAGCGGUGGAGCAUGUGGUUUAAUUCGAAGCAACGCGAAGAACCUUACCUGGCCUUGACAUGCAGAGAACUUUCCAGAGAUGGAUUGGUGCCUUCGGGAACUCUGACACAGGUGCUGCAUGGCUGUCGUCAGCUCGUGUCGUGAGAUGUUGGGUUAAGUCCCGUAACGAGCACAACCCUUGUCCUUAGUUACCAGCACCUCGGGUGGGCACUCUAAGGAGACUGCCGGUGACAAACCGGAGGAAGGUGGGGAUGACGUCAAGUCAUCAUGGCCCUUACGGCCAGGGCUACACACGUGCUACAAUGGUCGGUACAAAGGGUUGCCAAGCCGCGAGGUGGAGCUAAUCCCAUAAAACCGAUCGUAGUCCGGAUCGCAGUCUGCAACUCGACUGCGUGAAGUCGGAAUCGCUAGUAAUCGUGAAUCAGAAUGUCACGGUGAAUACGUUCCCGGGCCUUGUACACACCGCCCGUCACACCAUGGGAGUGGGUUGCACCAGAAGUAGCUAGUCUAACCGCAAGGGGGACGGUUACCACGGAGUGAUUCAUGACUGGGGUGAAGUCGUAACAAGG